rnacentral:sRNA from 1 species
UUAGAAGAUAGAAAUGGUGAAGCACAGAGUUGGCAGAGGAAGUGUCUAAGGGAAGUAAGUAUUGUAUCUUAUAACGACCGUGAGGACGGCGCGGGGGAACCCAGCUGGUAAGUUCUAGAUAUUAGUACAGAUUCCUUUGGUUUUCUUUCUUUGUCAUUUUCUGUGUUUCGUCUCUUUCAAUUUCAAAAUACUAUCUUGCUGUAGCUCUACGGUAUUUUCUCUGUCAUGUCCUUUCUACGUUUGAUUCUCAACCCUGAGUUGUUGCCGGGAAAUAGUGGGAGAUAAUGACGGGGGAGAGUUUGUUUGACUGCAGUGUGUUC